rnacentral:rRNA from 1 species
AAGAUUUUAAUAGUCGAACAGACUAAUUAUAUUAAUAUCUUCAUUAAUAAAAAAUCUUAAUUCAACAUCGAGGUCGCAAUCUUAAUUAUCAAUAUGAACUAUUUAAUUAAAUUACG